rnacentral:lncRNA from 10 species
CUCGAGGAUACGGUAAUAGAUUCAAGGGCACUCACUGCCAUUUCCACUGGUUACAAGACAAGCCAUCUAUGUCCAGACUAAUAGAAACUCAGAAGUCUCAAUGAUCUGGAUAUUUUAGAAUUUCCUUUUCAUUUGAGGCUUGAAUUAAUUAUUCAGAUAACAUCUCUAAUUUUCCAUUUUUUACCUUGUAUGCGGAAAACAGCAGAGAUUAAAGUGCGGUCUCGCUCCAGAGAAUAAGAGCUGUGAAAGGAGCCUCGAGAUGUGGGGGCGGCAGACAGAGCCUGCACCUCGUGGAGCAGCGGAGGCAUGAUGGAUCCUUGCUGUGACUGGUGCCUGGACAUCCCUGCCAACCACCUUGGAGAAUGGCACCUUCUGAGUGUGCCUGAACCACUCUUCUCCUUGGCUACCACUCUGAGUACUAUCCCUAGAGACUACUGGCCACACACAUCCACAGUCUCAAUGUCCACAGAAGACAUUGUUUUGCAGCAUGCAAAAACAAUCUGAAAGAUGAUAAAAAGCAAUUUUCAUAAUUAAUAAAUUUCUACCUGCUGAUUAGGAAGUGUUAGAAAUAAAUAAACAAACAAACAAGUGUAAUUGUGACAUUUUGGCAAGGGUUCCAACUUAAGGACUGAAAUGUGCCCUUGCUCUGACUGUAUCUAAUUCAGUUCAAUUGAACAAACAUCCAUUGAAUAUCUAUUGUUUGUAAAGCUCUGGGCUAGCUGUUGUUCAGCAUAUGAUCUCUGUUCUCAGGUCAAAACAAAUGAGGCAGAAAAAGCUGAAUGCAUGAGAUGAAAACAAAAUUAAAAAUAAAACAGCCUUCUUCCUGGAGAUUCUAAUUCAAUAGGCUGGAUGGGGCCCAGGCAGCUAUAUUUUACCAAGCAUCAGCUCAGCCUGGUUCUGACCAGCAGGCAAGCACUCAGAAGGAGGCCAUCACUGUCUCUAAUUGGUGGUUGUCACAAAAAGCUGCAAAGGGGAGGUAUAGUCACCUUGAGAUAUUUCAACAACAACUGCAUGUUAAGUGCCUUGAAGGCACAGGUCAGACUUGGGCAAGUGGAGGACACAGAAGGGGGAUGUUUCCAGCAAGGAGCAGAGCUGUGGAGGCCGCAAAGUGCACCCUGAACGGCUGGCCCUCUUGAGAGAUGUCAAGAAGAACGUUGUUGGAACAGUUCAUUUCUAAAUGAACUCAUCAGCCUUACUUUUUUCCAUUAGUUCGCAUUUGGCCUCAUUUCUCAAUCCAGAAUGAUGCAAAGGAGCCAUAAACCUGAAUUAAGACAAACAAAAGUGACAUGGAUAAAUUUUCCUUGGACAUCAGAGCACCAGGGUUGAGAGAGGAGAGAGGAGGGCUCAUGUUUCAACUUGAGGCUUCCGCAGCUGCGUCCACAGCUGCGCCGCCAAGUUCAGAGUUGAGCAUUCAUGAGUGUGUGUCUUGUCAUGAACCAGGGGCCUCACUGUCACCACUAGGAGGACACACCAUAGACCUUCCUGGGCAACAAGAAAAGCUGAGCCACACUCUGCAAAUUCCAAAGGCCUGAGAGAAGUCCAGAGUCGGGACUUUUGAGGAAAACCAGUCCAUGCUAAAAAUUUGAAAAAUACAGAAAAUUAAGAAAAAACAGCAAGGCCCCAUAAUUAUGUAACACAGAGACUACCAGAAUAAUUAUGCAGAAAUAUUUCCUGCAUUUUUCCUUCAUGCGUUUUACAAGAUAGUUGGGACCACACAUUUUUGUAUUCUGCUUUUUUAAAUGGUUAACUAUUAUAGUAGAAGAAUUCCUCUUAUGUGAUUACAAAUAUAUCACAAAAUUAUUUCAAUAACCAUAACAUUUUAACACAUGAAUAUUUAUAAUAUAAUUAGCAAGGUAAUUCUAUUUUUGUAACUUUAGGUUUCUUUAAUUUUUCUCCAUUAUAAGUAAUGCUAAUUAAGCAGGCAUGACCAUGGGCCAAUGAAAAUAUCUAAGUCAAAAGCAGCAAUUUGUCUAUAGAUUUGAGUUUUUAAAAAAUGAUUAAAAACAAUACGUCAAUGUCAUAGAUGCCACUACUUUUGGAAAACAGUUUAUUGCAUCUUUCUCUGUUUAUCUGGUAUGAGUAUAAAUGGGCUUACAAUGAAAAAGCUCCCUUACCAAAGUGAUGUAGGAAUUAUUGCUUAGAGCUAUGAGACUGAGAGAUAGUGGGAUAUAAACAAAGGUCUCUUCUAAGGUCUUUAAAGGAGCUGGAAAAUACGUAGGUCAUGCAGAUGUUCCACUGCCGCCACCAGCCCCUCCUCCACCACUCCUCCCCUCCCCCUUGGGCCUCUUGCCUCCCUGCCCUCUGGUCUUGUCUUCAUUCUAGGGAAAGUCUCCCUCCAACAGCAGGCUGAUCCAGGCCCCCCUGGGGAGUGGGACCUUCUCCGUAUUCAGUAUUGGUGUCUGCAUCAAGGAUGGCAUGACAGUGGAACAUCCCUGAACAUAAAGAUUGGGAGAGUGAAAGGAAAAUAAAUCUCAGGACUUUAAAAGCACUAAGCCACAGGGAAAAUUCAUGCUGGGAAUUGUCUUGGGCCAACCUGCCUCCUAUUCUAUUCCUAAAUAAGAUAGCUACAAAGAUAAAAAAGCCAUAUACCCCCCUCACAAUUAUAAAAAAGCUAUAUACCUCCCUCACAACUAUAAAAAUGAUAUACACCUCCCUCCCUCUCUCACAAAAGGAAAUUCCUUGUGGACAAAUAACAGGCAGAACUCAAAGUCGUCCCUCUGCUCACACGAGACAAUGCAUACCUGAUUUUUUUCUUUUUUUGCCCUAUUGUUUCACUAAGCCAGACUAAGGCAUAAGUGACUAUUCCUGUAAAUUGUGUAUUCAGUGAAAAGCUAAUCAGAAACUCUAAAGAAUGUAACUGUUUUUUUCUUAUCUGCCUGUGACCUGGAAGCCCCCUCCCUGCUUGGCGUUGUCCUGCUUUCCGGACUGAAUCAAUGUACAUCUUACAUAUUAUACAAUGUACAUCUUACACAUAUAGAUUGAAGUCUCACGUCUCCCUAAAAUGUAUAAAACCAAGCUGUUCCCUGACCACCUUGGCUCAUGUUGUGAGGACCUCCUGAGGCUGCGUCACAGGUGCAUCCUUAACCUUGGCAAAAUAAACUUUCUAAAUUGAUUGAGACCCG